UGCAAAAUUUGGAGACGCACCCUAAAAGGUGCCGGGGCUUCUCCCGUUUUAAGAGAGACGGGAGAAGG
rnacentral:tRNA from 1 species